rnacentral:rRNA from 1 species
UUUAUUGGAGAGUUUGAUCCUGGCUCAGGAUGAACGCUGGCGGCGUGCCUAAUACAUGCAAGUCGAGCGAAUGGAUUGAGAGCUUGCUCUCAAGAAGUUAGCGGCGGACGGGUGAGUAACACGUGGGUAACCUGCCCAUAAGACUGGGAUAACUCCGGGAAACCGGGGCUAAUACCGGAUAAUAUUUUGAACUGCAUGGUUCGAAAUUGAAAGGCGGCUUCGGCUGUCACUUAUGGAUGGACCCGCGUCGCAUUAGCUAGUUGGUG